rnacentral:rRNA from 1 species
AGUGCUUGCACCGAAUGGACGUCGACCGGCGCACGGGUGAGUAACGCGUAUCCAACCUUCCCAUAACUAAGGGAUAACCUGCCGAAAGGCAGACUAAUACCUUAUGUAAUCCUUUGAUGGCAUCAGAUAAGGAUAAAAGAUUUAUCGGUUAUGGAUGGGGAUGCGUCUGAUUAGCUUGUUGGCGGGGUAACGGCCCACCAAGGCAACGAUCAGUAGGGGUUCUGAGAGGAAGGUCCCCCACAUUGGAACUGAGACACGGUCUAAACUCCUACGGGAGGCAGCAGUGAGGAAUAUUGGUCAAUGGACGGAAGUCUGAACCAGCCAAGUAGCGUGCAGGAUGACGGCCCUAUGGGUUGUAAACUGCUUUUGUAUGGGGAUAAAGUCAAUCACGUGUGAUUGUUUGCAGGUACCAUACGAAUAAGGACCGGCUAAUUCCGUGCCAGCAGCCGCGGUAAUACGGAAGGUUCGGGCGUUAUCCGGAUUUAUUGGGUUUAAAGGGAGCGUAGGCCGGAGAUUAAGUGUGUUGUGAAAUGUAGACGCUCAACGUCUGACUUGCAGCGCAUACUGGUUUCCUUGAGUACGCACAACGUUGGCGGAAUUCGUCGUGUAGCGGUGAAAUGCUUAGAUAUGACGAAGAACUCCGAUUGCGAAGGCAGCUGACGGGAGCGCAACUGACGCUGAAGCUCGAAGGUGCGGGUAUCGAACAGGAUUAGAUACCCUGGUAGUCCGCACAGUAAACGAUGGAUGCCCGCUGUUGGUACC